UGCUUAUAGAAAAUCGUGUCUGCCUUUUUAAUUUUUUUUUCAUCUUUCUCUCUCACUUUGUUUGUUGUGAUUACGAAAAUAAUAAACGAGUUUUCCACCGCAACCAUCUGUCAGUUUCAACCGCCGGAGCCGCCGCAAGGAAGGCUCUUCAUCCGCCGUGGCGAUUUUUUAAAAGUGUAUAAAGCAUUGCCUUUUUUUGACAAACCAGGAAAUGGUUAAAAGACAUGGGGAGUUUUGAUUCACGAGAGGUAUCAUGUCGCAGUGCGUAGACGGUUUCAAGCAUGUGUGCUCCUCUUUUUUCCGGUGUUUUGAUAU